ACAUUGGUGGUUCAAUGGUAGAAUUCUCGCCUGCCAUGCGGGAGGCCUGGGUUCAAUUCCCAGCUGAUGCA